GCGGUUUUUUGGCAGCGCUGUUGUAGUGUAUGGUGGAGGUGUUGGGUUUUGGUUUGGGUUUGUUGUUGGUUGUGCUGUGUUGCCUGGCCUUGGUCUUGGCACAGCAACGGACGACGGAACACUCGGACCAGACCCAACAGACCUCGCCAGAUAGACGUCUUUGCUUGCUUUGAUGAAACCAAAUCAAAAA
rnacentral:misc_RNA from 1 species